rnacentral:rRNA from 1 species
UACAGAGGUCUCAAGCGUUGUUCGGAUUCACUGGGCGUAAAGGGUGCGCAGGUGGGUUGGCAAGUUUGAUGUGAAAGCCCCGGGCUUAACCCGGGAAUGGCAUUGAAUACUGCUGAUCUGGAGGAUCGGAGGGGGGACUGGAAUUCUUGGUGUAGCAGUGAAAUGCGUAGAUAUCAAGAGGAACACCAGUGGCGAAGGCGAGUCCCUGGACGAUACCUGACACUGAGGCACGAAAGCCAAGGGAGCAAACAGG